GCAGAGACAUAGGCAGAGGGAAAAGCAGACUCCAUGCAGGGAGCCUGAUGUGGGACUCGGUCCCAGGACCCCAGGAUCAGGCCCUGAACCAAAGGCAGACGCUUAACCGCUGAGCCACCCAAGCGUCCCUAAUUAUCACCUGUUUAAAGGCAUCUAGGCUGUUUACCAUUUUAGGUUAUUACAAAUAAUACUGCUAUAAAUAUUCUUGUACAAAAUUUUGUAGUGAAAUGAGUUUUCAUGUCUUUAGGGGUAAAUGCCCAGGUUUACAAUGGCUGUGUCUUAUGGUAUUUGAAUGUUUAGUUUUUAAGAAACUGCUAAAUUGUUUUUUCAGACUGGUUGUAUCAUUUUAUAAUCCUACCGCAAUGUGAUCCAGUUUCUUUCUUUUUUUUUUUUAAGAUUUUAUUUACUUAUGACGGGGGGGGGAGAGAGAGAGAGAGAGAGAGCCAGAGACACAGGCAGAGGAAGAAGCAGGCUCCAUGCAGGAAGCCUGAUGUGGGACUUGAUCCCGGGUGUCCAGAAUCACACCCCAGGCCGAAGGCGGCACCAAACCGCUGGGCCACUGGGAUUGCCCUGAUCCAGUUUCUAUACAUCCUCUGCAGCAUUUGUCACCAUUUUGAAAAAAGAUUUUAUUUAUUUAUUCAUGAGAAAUGCAGAGAGAGAGGCAUAGGGAGAAGCAGGUUCCAUGCAGGGAGCCCACUGUGGGACUCCAUCCUGGGACUACAGGAUCAUGCCCUGGGCUGAAGGCAGACGCUCAGCUGCUGAGCCAUCCAGGCGUCCCUGUCACUAUUUUUUAUGUUAGCCAUUCAGAUACGUAUAUGCUGAUACCUCAUUGAAAAAUAAAAAAUAAAAUCACGGAUGAAAAAGAAGAGAUCACAACAAAUACCAAGGAAAUACAAAUGAUUUUAAAAACAUAUCAUGAGCAGCUAUAUGCCAAUAAAUUAGGUAAUCUAGAAGAAAUGGACACAUUUAAUGGAAAACCACAAGCUACUAAAACUGGAACAGGAAGAAACAGAAAGCCUGAACAGGCCGAUAACCAGGGAGGAAAUUGAAGCAGUCAUCAAAAACCUCCCAAGACACAAAAGUCCAGAGCCAGAUGGCUUCCCAGGGGAAUUCUAUCAAACAUUUAAAGAAGAAACAGUACUAUUCUACUAAAGCUGUUCCAAAAGCUAGAAAGAGAUGGAAUACUUCCAAAAUCAUUCUAUGAGGCCAGCAUCACCUUAAUUCCAAAGCCAAAGACCCCACCAAAAAGGAGAAUUAUAGACCAAUAUCCCUAAUGAACAUGGAUGUAAAAAUUCUCAAAAAGAUACUAGCCAAUAGGAUCCAACAGUACAUUAAGAAGAUUAUCCACCAUGACCAAGUGGGAUUUAUCCCCAGGAUGCAAGGCUGGUUCAACACUCAUAAAGCAAUCAAUGUGAUAGAUCAUAUCAACAAAAGAAAAAAA
rnacentral:lncRNA from 1 species